GAUGAACGCUGGCGGCGUGCCUAAUACAUGCAAGUCGAGCGAACAGACGAGGAGCUUGCUCCUCUGACGUUAGCGGCGGACGGGUGAGUAACACGUGGAUAACCUACCUAUAAGACUGGGAUAACUUCGGGAAACCGGAGCUAAUACCGGAUAAUAUAUUGAACCGCAUGGUUCAAUAGUGAAAGACGGUUUUGCUGUCACUUAUAGAUGGAUCCGCGCCGCAUUAGCUAGUUGGUAAGGUAACGGCUUACCAAGGCAACGAUGCGUAGCCGACCUGAGAGGGUGUUGGCCCACACUGAAACUGAGACACGGUCCAGACUCCUACGGGAGGCAGCAGUAGGGAAUCUUCCGCAAUGGCGAAAGCCUGACGGAGCAACGCCGCGUGAGUGAUGAAGGUCUUCGGAUCGUAAAACUCUGUUAUUAGGGAAGAACAAAUGUGUAAGUAACUAUGCACGUCUUGACGGUACCUAAUCAGAAAGCCACGGCUAACUACGUG
rnacentral:rRNA from 1 species